GUUUUCGUGGUGUAUCAGUAGCACACUCGGCUUGUAUUCGAGAGGUCCAGGUUCGAAUUCCGGAGAGAGCA
rnacentral:tRNA from 1 species